rnacentral:rRNA from 1 species
UACGAAGGGGGCUAGCGUUGCUCGGAAUCACUGGGCGUAAAGCGCACGUAGGCGGAUUCUUAAGUCAGGGGUGAAAUCCUGGAGCUCAACUCCAGAACUGCCUUUGAUACUGGGAGUCUCGAGUCCGGGAGAGGUGAGUGGAACUGCGAGUGUAGAGGUGAAAUUCGUAGAUAUUCGCAGGAACACCGGUGGCGAAAGCGGCGCGCUGGACCUCUUCUGACGCUGAGGCGCGAAAGCCAGGGGAGCAAACGGG